rnacentral:rRNA from 2 species
UCUGGCGGCAGUAGCGCGGUGGUCCCACCUGACCCCAUGCCGAACUCAGAAGUGAAACGCCGUAGCGCCGAU